rnacentral:misc_RNA from 1 species
UUUUAACUUAAAUUCAAAAGAAAACUAUUAUGGGGGACCAAAUAGAAAUUUCAGCCAGCUAGGAUUAGGGCUUGAAAUAAAUGAGUUUGAUGGUUUUGAAUGAUUAUUUGAGAUGAAUUAAGUGCAUAGAUAUUGAUUAUGUACUUUAAAUUCAUUAAUUGAAUGAAUUAUGUAAGUUAGGGUUUUUAGCACCUAGGGUUUGGGAGGCAAAAAUGUGAG